rnacentral:rRNA from 1 species
GAUGAACGCUAGCUACAGGCUUAACACAUGCAAGUCGAGGGGAAACGACAUCGAAAGCUUGCUUUUGAUGGGCGUCGACCGGCGCACGGGUGAGUAACGCGUAUCCAACCUGCCCAUCACUUGGGAAUAACCUUGCGAAAGUAAGACUAAUACCCAAUGAUAUCCCACGAAGGCAUCGGAAUGGGAUUAAAGAUUUAUCGGUGAUGGAUGGGGAUGCGUCUGAUUAGCUUGUUGGCGGGGUAACGGCCCACCAAGGCAACGAUCAGUAGGGGUUCUGAGAGGAAGGUCCCCCACAUUGGAACUGAGACACGGUCCAAACUCCUACGGGAGGCAGCAGUGAGGAAUAGUGGCCAAUGGGCGAGAGCCUGAACCAGCCAAGUAGCGUGCAGGAAGACGGCCCUAUGGGUUGUAAACUGCUUUUAUAAGGGAAUAAAGUGGGUCACAUGUGACUUUUUGCAUGUACCUUAUGAAUAAGGACCGGCUAAUUCCGUG